rnacentral:rRNA from 1 species
GACGAACGCUGGCGGCGUGCCUAAUACAUGCAAGUAGAACGCUGAAGAGAGGAGCUUGCUCUUCUUGGAUGAGUUGCGAACGGGUGAGUAACGCGUAGGUAACCUGCCUGGUAGCGGGGGAUAACUAUUGGAAACGAUAGCUAAUACCGCAUAAAAUUGAUUAUUGCAUGAUCAUUAAGUGAAAGAAGCAACUGCAUCACUACCAGAUGGACCUGAGUUGUAUUAGCUAGUUGGAGAGGUAACGGAUCACCACGGCGACGAUACAUAGCCGACCUGAGAGGGUGGUCGGCCACCCUGGGAGUGUGACACGCCCCAGACUCCUACGGGAGGCAGCCGUAGUGAAUCUUCGGGAAUGGGGGGAACCUUGUGCGAGCUACGCCGCGUCAGUGUAGAAGGUCUUCGGAUCGUAGAGCUCUGUUGUCAGGGUAGAACGGUCGUGAGGCUGGAAAGUUCACACUGUGACGGUACCUGACCAGAAAGCGCCGGCUAACUACGUG